CCAUUGGCAUGCCUAGUACGGCGAGUGAGCGGCAACAGCUCAAAUUUGAAAGCUGGCUCCGGCCCGCGUUGUAAUUUGCAGAGGAUGCUUCUGGCGAGGUGCCUUCCGAGUUCCCUGGAACGGGACGCCAUAGAGGGUGAGAGCCCCGUAUGGAUGGACACCAAACCUGUGUGAAGCUCCUUCAACGAGUCGAGUAGUUUGGGAAUGCUGCUCUAAAUGGGAGGUAAAUCUCUUCUAAAGCUAAAUACCGGCCAGAGACCGAUAGCGCACAAGUAGAGUGAUCGAAAGAUGAAAAGCACCUUGAAAAGGGGGUUAAACAGUACGUGAAAUUGUUGAAAGGGAAGCGCUUGUGACCAGACUUGCGCCGGGCAGCUCAUCAGGGGUUCUCCCCUGUGCACUCUGCCCGGCUCAGGCCAGCAUCGGUUCUCGUGGGAGGAUAAGAACGGUAGGAACGUGGCCCCCCUCCGGGGGGGUGUUAUAGCCUGCCGUACGAUACUCCCGUGGGGACCGAGGUUCGCGCUCCGCAAGGAUGCUGGCGUAAUGGUCAUCAGCGACCCGUCUUGAAA
rnacentral:rRNA from 1 species